rnacentral:rRNA from 1 species
GUGCCAGCAGCCGCGGUAAUACGUAGGUGGCAAGCGUUGUCCGGAAUUAUUGGGCGUAAAGCGCGCGCAGGUGGUCUCUUAAGUCUGAUGUGAAAGCCCCCGGCUCAAACCGGGGAGGGUCAUUGGAAACUGGGAGACUUGAGUGCAGGAGAGAAGAGUGGAAUUCCACGUGUAGCGGUGAAAUGCGUAGAGAUGUGGAGGAACACCAGUGGCGAAGGUGACUCUUUGGCCUGUACUGACACUGAGGCGCGAAAGCGUGGGGA